rnacentral:rRNA from 1 species
AUUGAACGCUGGCGGCAUGCCUUACACAUGCAAGUCGAACGGCAGCACGGGUGCUUGCACCAGGCGGCGAGUGGCGAACGGGUGAGUAAUGCAUCGGAACGUACCCUGGAGUGGGGGAUAACUAUCCGAAAGGAUAGCUAAUACCGCAUAUUCUAUGAGUAGGAAAGCGGGGGAUCUUCGGACCUCGCGCUCUGGGAGCGGCCGAUGUCAGAUUAGCUAGUUGGUGGGGUGAAGGCCUACCAAGGCUACGAUCUGUAGCGGGUCUGAGAGGAUGAUCCGCCACACUGGGACUGAGACACGGCCCAGACUCCUACGGGAGGCAGCAGUGGGGAAUUUUGGACAAUGGGGGCAACCCUGAUCCAGCCAUGCCGCGUGAGUGAAGAAGGCCUUCGGGUUGUAAAGCUCUUUCGGCCGGGAAGAAAUCGCCAUCUCUAAUAUAGGUGGUGGAUGACGGUACCGGAAUAAGAAGCACCGGCUAACUACGUGCCAGCCGCCGCUGUAAAAC